rnacentral:tRNA from 1 species
UCAUUCAAAUAAUGAGAUUAACGAGUAAAAGGAAGAAGAAAAGUUAACCAGUUUAGGCAGAGUCGGAUGGGUAUCUA